rnacentral:rRNA from 1 species
CGUGUAGGCGGUUCGGUUAAGUCUGAUGUGAAAGCCCGAGGCUCAGCUUCGGAAGUGCAUCGGAAACUAGCCGGCUGGAGCGCGAUAGAGGAGGGUGGAAUUCCUGGUGUAGCGGUGAAAUGCGUAGAUAUCAGGAGGAACACCGGCGGCGAAGGCGGCCCUCUGGAUCGUUGCUGACGCUGAGACGCGAAAGCGUGGGGACGCAAACAGGAUUAGAUACCCUGGUAGUCCACGCUGUAAACUAUGGGUACUAGGUGUUCGGGGUAUUGACCCCCUGAGUGCCGCAGUUAACGCAUUAAGUACCCCGCCUGGGGACUACGGCCGCAAGGUUAAA